rfam:Triticum urartu cultivar G1812 contig877807, whole genome shotgun sequence.
UUUGUACUUCCUCCGUCCCAAAAUUCUUGUCUUAAAUUUGUUUAAAUAUGGAUGUAUCAAGUCUCUUCUUAGUAUUAGAUACAUCCGUAUCAAGACAAAUCUAAGACAAGAAUUUUGGGACGGAGGGAGUAUAUG